CUGGAGGGACAGGGCACCGUUACCGCGGUCCACACCGUGGACGACCGAGGCUUUUAGAAGAACAGGAUGAGUGAGACACGAAGCCACGGGUGGCAGUAAAGAGCCUCCGCCGAGAAGAGCUGCGUGGGACCGCCUCCGUUCAACUCGCUCCCGCAGUGUUUAGAGGCUGUGAUGCUGCUCCUGAGCGUCGGUGAUCGAGGACAAGCGCAGUGCGGGACUCGAGGGUACGAUGGCAGAAGCAGGAUGAGGGCCUGGAACCAGCAGCCUUCUGGUCAGUGACAGGCCAUAUCCUCGCAGCGAACGAAGGCCUCGCUUGCAGCCACUGGACGAAUGGCAGAGUAAAAGUGUGAUGUAAUCCCAGAAUGCACUGGGCACGGCCGC